rnacentral:rRNA from 1 species
UUAAAUUGAAGAGUUUGAUCAUGGCUCAGAUUGAACGCUGGCGGCAGGCCUAACACAUGCAAGUCGAACGGUAACAGGAAGCAGCUUGCUGCUUUGCUGACGAGUGGCGGACGGGUGAGUAAUGUCUGGGAAACUGCCCGAUGGAGGGGGAUAACUACUGGAAACGGUAGCUAAUACCGCAUAACGUCGCAAGACCAAAGAGGGGGACCUUAGGGCCUCUUGCCAUCGGAUGUGCCCAGAUGGGAUUAGCUAGUAGGUGGGGUAAUGGCUCACCUAGGCGACGAUCCCUAGCUGGUCUGAGAGGAUGACCAGCCACACUGGAACUGAGACACGGUCCAGACUCCUACGGGAGGCAGCAGUGGGGAAUAUUGCACAAUGGGCGCAAGCCUGAUGCAGCCAUGCCGCGUGUAUGAAGAAGGCCUUCGGGUUGUAAAGUACUUUCAGCGGGGAGGAAGGGAGUAAAGUUAAUACCUUUGCUCAUUGACGUUACCCGCAGAAGAAGCACCGGCUAACUCCGUGCCAGCAGCCGCGGUAAUACGGAGGGUGCAAGCGUUAAUCGGAAUUACUGGGCGUAAAGCGCACGCAGGCGGUUUGUUAAGUCAGAUGUGAAAUCCCCGGGCUCAACCUGGGAACUGCAUCUGAUACUGGCAAGCUUGAGUCUCGUAGAGGGGGGUAGAAUUCCAGGUGUAGCGGUGAAAUGCGUAGAGAUCUGGAGGAAUACCGGUGGCGAAGGCGGCCCCCUGGACGAAGACUGACGCUCAGGUGCGAAAGCGUGGGGAGCAAACAGGAUUAGAUACCCUGGUAGUCCACGCCGUAAACGAUGUCGACUUGGAGGUUGUGCCCUUGAGGCGUGGCUUCCGGAGCUAACGCGUUAAGUCGACCGCCUGGGGAGUACGGCCGCAAGGUUAAAACUCAAAUGAAUUGACGGGGGCCCGCACAAGCGGUGGAGCAUGUGGUUUAAUUCGAUGCAACGCGAAGAACCUUACCUGGUCUUGACAUCCACGGAAGUUUUCAGAGAUGAGAAUGUGCCUUCGGGAACCGUGAGACAGGUGCUGCAUGGCUGUCGUCAGCUCGUGUUGUGAAAUGUUGGGUUAAGUCCCGCAACGAGCGCAACCCUUAUCCUUUGUUGCCAGCGGUCCGGCCGGGAACUCAAAGGAGACUGCCAGUGAUAAACUGGAGGAAGGUGGGGAUGACGUCAAGUCAUCAUGGCCCUUACGACCAGGGCUACACACGUGCUACAAUGGCGCAUACAAAGAGAAGCGACCUCGCGAGAGCAAGCGGACCUCAUAAAGUGCGUCGUAGUCCGGAUUGGAGUCUGCAACUCGACUCCAUGAAGUCGGAAUCGCUAGUAAUCGUGGAUCAGAAUGCCACGGUGAAUACGUUCCCGGGCCUUGUACACACCGCCCGUCACACCAUGGGAGUGGGUUGCAAAAGAAGUAGGUAGCUUAACCUUCGGGAGGGCGCUUACCACUUUGUGAUUCAUGACUGGGGUGAAGUCGUAACAAGGUAACCGUAGGGGAACCUGCGGUUGGAUCACCUCCUUACCUUAAAGAAGC